UACGUAGGGAGCAAGCGUUGUCCGGAAUCAUUGGGCGUAAAGCGCGCGUAGGCGGCCCUGUAAGUCCGUUGUGAAAGUCAAAGGCUCAACCUUUGAAAGCCGAUGGAUACUGCAGGGCUAGAGUCCGGAAGAGGCGAGUGGAAUUCCUGGUGUAGCGGUGGAAUGCGCAGAUAUCAGGAGGAACACCAACGGCGAAGGCAGCUCGCUGGGACGGUACUGACGCUAAGGCGCGAAAGCGUGGGGAGCGAACAGG
rnacentral:rRNA from 1 species